UACAGAGGGGGCAAGCGUUGUUCGGAAUUGCUGGGCGUAAAGGGCGCGUAGGCGGCCACCUAAGUCAGACGUGAAAUCCCUCGGCUCAACCGGGGAACUGCGUCUGAUACUGGGUGGCUUGAAUCCGGGAGAGGGAUGCGGAAUUCCAGGUGUAGCGGUGAAAUGCGUAGAUAUCUGGAGGAACACCGGUGGCGAAGGCGGCGUUCUGGACUGCAACUGACACUGAGGAACGAAAGCCAGGGGAGCAAACGGG
rnacentral:rRNA from 1 species